rnacentral:rRNA from 1 species
GACGAACGCUGGCGGCGUGCUUAACACAUGUAAGUCGAACGGAAAGGCCCUUCGGGGUACUCGAGUGGCGAACGGGUGAGUAACACGUGGGUGAUCUGCCCUGCACUUUGGGAUAAGCCUGGGAAACUGGGUCUAAUACCGAAUAGGACCGCGCUUUUCCUGGGGUGUGGUGGAAAGCUUUUGCGGUGUGGGAUGGGCCCGCGGCCUAUCAGCUUGUUGGUGGGGUAAUGGCCUACCAAGGCGACGACGGGUAGCGGGCCUGGGAGGGUGACCGGCCACACUGGGACUGAGAUACGGCCCAGACUCCUACGGGAGGCAGCAGUGGGGAAUAUUGCACAAUGGGCGCAAGCCUGAUGCAGCGACGCCGCGUGAGGGAUGACGGCCUUCGGGUUGUAAACCUCUUUCAGUACCGACGAAGCGCAAGUGACGGUAGGUACAGAAGAAGGACCGGCCAACUACGUGCCAGCCGCCGCCGUAACAC